UUUCAAUAAUGAUGAAAAGUUUGGGCUGAACAACUGUGAUGCUUCCAAAACGAGCUUUUUAAAUCUGAAAACA